rnacentral:rRNA from 1 species
AGAGCGAACGCUGGCGGCAGGCCUAACACAUGCAAGUCGAGCGCCCCGCAAGGGGAGCGGCAGACGGGAGAGUAACACGUGGGAACGUGCCCUUUGGUUCGGAACAACACAGGGAAACUUGUGCUAAUACCGGAUAAGCCCUUACGGGGAAAGAUUUAUCGCCAAAGGAUCGGCCCGCGUCUGAUUAGCUAGUUGGUGAGGUAACGGCUCACCAAGGCUACGAUCAGUAGCUGGUCUGAGAGGAUGAUCAGCCUCACUGGGACUGAGACACGGCCCAGACUCCUACGGGAGGCAGCAGUGGGGAAUAUUGGACAAUGGGCGCAAGCCUGAUCCAGCCAUGCCGCGUGGGUGAUGAAGGCCCUAGGGUUGUAAAGCCCUUUCGGCGGGAAGAUAAUGACGGUACCCGCAGAAGAAGCCCCGGCUAACUUCGUGCCAGCAGCCGC